CGCAUCUGUGCAUGCAGCAUAUCAAUAAGCGGAGGAAAAGAAACUAACAAGGAUUCCCCUAGUAACGGCGAGUGAAGCGGGAAGAGCUCAAAUUUGAAAUCUUAAAGGGUUUCCCUUUACGAAUUGUAGUUUAAAGAAGUGUUUUCUGUUGAGGUUUUGGUAAAAGUUCUUUGGAAUAGGACAUCAUAGAGGGUGAGAAUCCCGUAUUUGACCUUUACUUUCAACUUUGUGAUACACUUUCAAAGAGUCGGAUUGUUUGGGAAUGCAGUCCAAAAUGGGUGGUAAAUUUCAUCUAAAGCUAAAUAUUGGCGAGAGACCGAUAGCGAACAAGUACCGUGAGGGAAAGAUGAAAAGAACUUUGAAAAGAGAGUUAAACAGUACGUGAAAUUGUCAAAAGGGAAGCGUUUGACACCAGUGUUGUUUUUCUGAAAAUCAAUUAAAGAACUGUUUAUGCUAAGCUGUUUAGACUUUAUCAGCUAACUGUUUAGUUUUGAGCUUUUCUUUAAUGCACUUUUCAGUUAACAAGUCAACAUCAAUCUCUUUUGCUGUAAAAAAAGCUUGAGGAAGGUGGCUUGAGAUUCGUCUUAAGUGUUUAUAGCCUCUUGCCUAUGCAGUCGGAGAGAUUGAGGUCUGCAGCGUAGAUCCUUCGGGGCUAAAUGCAUUUGUGCUAAGUUAUAACAUUUUAUAGACAACUUGUUGACUAUGAUUUGUCUUGUAGCUUACUCGCUUAUGUUAUUUUACCUACGCUUAGGAUGUUGAGCGCAUGUCUCUCUCU
rnacentral:rRNA from 1 species